rnacentral:lncRNA from 1 species
UACUCGUAGCACUUCUAGCAUCAGAAAAUAAAGCUGAUAAAUCCUCAGAGGGUAGCUGCUUAUUGUACAUGAUGAAAGGAAUUUUGGGUAAUUUCUGCAGGACUUUUUGUCCAACAUGCCAUAUUGUUUCUUGAGUUUGUCUGUUGCCUUCCGAGCAUAAGAAUCAACUCAGUCUUUGUACUUUUCAUACAACAAUGGCAUGGUCAAGAGCAUCCCAAAUACUGCCAGCAUAGAAAUACGAGGCACUGUUAUAAAUAUGCUAAAGAUGCCAAACUGAUGUACUUUGUGCAUUUUUUUGUUUGCUCUCUCUUCUCUGCCUCCUCUUCCUCGUCCCUUUUUUUCCUAGUAGACUAGUUUCUUUACUCAAAAACAAAAAAUGGAAAAAUCUCCUCAUCUUCCAGGGUACCGAUUUGGCCCCCCCUGUUGGGGGGGGGGGGGGGGGUGAUCCUCCAAUCUAACUUUGCAUCAUCCUGGUUCCUACUACUGCUGAAAAAACAUUCUGUACAUUGUGUUAACAUAACUAAAUAAAAUUCUGCACACUCCAAAAUGCUGUCCAGAGUUCUAGUAACCCUUUUUACCUCUCACAAACUCAAAAGUUAAAAGCAAAACAAAUAAAAAAGGGAAAAAAGGAGCAGCAUAUGCUAAAAGAUCUCGUCUCGAAUGAGGGUUGACAGGAAGAAUACUCGCUGAUGUAUACUAGGGUCAAGAAGUCGAACCAGCUGCCGACUGGUGACUGUAGACGCAACCCACAAGCCGAAAACCGCCUGCAUUUCAGUUUAAUAUAAACUUUAUUAUCAUAAAAGUUCGAUGUGACAGUGGGGCUUGGGAAUAGAACCCAGAUCCAGUACGAAAUCCCUGUACAUAUCUUAAGAAAUAAAGGUUGAAGCCCAAUUUUGAGGGCCCUCACCGUUACACCCCUAGAACUUUAUAUCUUAAGAAAUAUCAAAUAUGUGACAGAGCUCAUUAGGUGAAAAAUGUACACAGAUAUAUCUUCAAAUCAUUUCCUUAAGCUACUUAGUGAAAGAUACCAAUUGCCUGGUUACAUCUAUUCCUCAAUAAGAGUGCAAUAUUCGUGCACAAGUCACCUGGUAAUACAAUCUGUGGAAAGUUCAAAGCCGACCUAACCAUAGAACCUAGUAAAAAACACACAAGUAUGAAUCAAUAUGGCAACGAACAGCACAAAAUAGAUAAAAAGAAACUGUAUAGUCACUUCCUAUUGAUAAUACUAGAGUAGAGAAAAAUGAUAUGAACCAUGUAACAAUGAACAGGACAAAAUGAAGAAAAAAGAUUCGUAUAACCUCGACCUAUCAAUGGUACUAAGUAGGGAAAAACAUAGUACGAUCAAUGAAUGCAAUGUAAUGGUGAAAAAGAAGAAGAAGAUUUAUUUAGCCCGUCAGACCUAUCCAUAAUACAAAGAAGGGAAAGACGAUGGUAUGGAAUGACGAUGCGAUGAACUACACAUAAUGAUUAAAGAGAAAUCAUGGAGUUGAUCUCAAAAUUGAUUAACGGAAGAUACUCACCGGUUAACGGAGUAGGACAACUGACAAGUUGGACCAUAAGAAGGACUAGCCAAAGAAAGAAUAAGAGAAUGACAAAGAAAAGUUAUCAAAUGAUAGCCUAUCCAUUCAAACAGAAGCCAUAUAACAAUUGAACCAGCAAGCAAACCUCCAGACUUCUGCUUGUUCCUUCGAAGUACAACGUCCGCAGCUGCAAAAUUAACCGUUGCCCACAUUUUUGUUCGAAUUUAUUUCUAGUCUAGAAUGAAAUUUUUUCGAAUUUCAGAUUCGUCUAGGUUUGUAAAAAUACGUAGUGACCAGAAGGGAAAAGUCAAUGUUAACCUCAACAAUAAUGGCCUAUGGUCGACUUCUAACCAUGGAUAUUAACUUACGUUUGCCACCGCUGAAAGCCUUAUGAAUCAGUUUCUGGCAGCCGAAAAGAUGAAACUUCUCCUGACUUGUAUGUUCAUCAUUGGUGGUGGAAGAAGAGGGAAAAGAAUAGUAAUGGCCAUGGCCAUUAUCAAGCCCGAAUUCAUGAACCUCUUCCAUUGAAGAAUAUUCAGAACAGUUCCAAUUUCAUCACCUGUUACUGGAUCCAACAUCUUAGUUCUUCCUGCACUGAAAUGAAAUCCAAGAAAUAUAAAUGGAAAUUUCCUAAAAAACUUCAAAGAUGCAUGAAACUUUAUAUCUUUCAGCAUUCACACACAUUUGCAUGCAGCAUCUUAAAGAUCAAAGAAAAAUUCACACACAGAGUAACAUGCACGAAAAUUUCAGAAAAUUGAUGGGUUUUGCCCCUUGAGAUUUGGAGUAGUACUUUGGGUUUAGUUAUUAAUUAUUAUUGAAGAUCUCUAAUUUGGAAGAAUUUU